GGUCAAUUAGCUCAGUCGGUUAGAGCGCCGCCCUGAUAAGGCGGAGGUCCGGGGUUCAAUCCCCUGAUUGGCCA
rnacentral:tRNA from 2 species